rfam:Glycine soja cultivar W05 scaffold2015_21, whole genome shotgun sequence.
GUAUCUGCAGGUGCAGCAGCAUCAAGAUUCACACCGCCUAAUUUGCUAGGACUUCAGGACUGCACACGCUUAAUUAUACAUACAUAUAUACAUAUAUGUUAGCUCUUUGUGGAGUGCGGAAUAAAGUUCUAUUUUAGAUGUGGGAAUCUUGAUGAUGCUGCAUCAGCAAAUAC